rnacentral:rRNA from 1 species
CAGCCGCCACGGUAAUACAGAGGGUGCGAGCGUUAAUCGGAAUUACUGGGCGUAAAGGGCGCGUAGGCGGAUUGUUUAGUUAGGCGUGAAAUUCCUGGGCUUAACCUGGGGACUGCGCUUAAUACAGGCAGUCUAGAGUGAGGAAGAGGGUUGUGGAAUUCCCAGUGUAGAGGUGAAACUCGUAGAUAUUGGGAAGAACACCGGUGGCGAAGGCGGCGACCUGGUCCUUUACUGACGCUGAGGCGCGAAAGCGUGGGGAGCAAACAGGAUUAGAUACCCCCGUAGUCCCUGUCUCUUAUAC